GCUCAUGAAUUUUUGUUUGUCAUGG
rnacentral:piRNA from 1 species